rnacentral:rRNA from 1 species
UACGAAGGGUGCAAGCGUUAAUCGGCCUUCCUUUUCGUCCCUUUUUCUUCGGCGGUUUUUUCCUUCUGUUGUGAAAUCCCCGGGCUCAACCUGGGCAUGGCAAUGGAUACUGGCAAGCUAGAGUGUGUCAGAGGAUGGUGGAAUUCCCGGUGUAGCGGUGAAAUGCGUAGAGAUCCGGAGGAACAUCAGUGGCGAAGGCGGCCAUCUGGGACAACCCUGACGCUGAAGCACGAAAGCGUGGGGAGCAAACAGG